rnacentral:ncRNA from 1 species
CAUGCAAGUAUCCGCGCCCCUGUGAAAACGCCCUUAAUUCCCUAAUAGGGAUAAGGAGCCGGUAUCAGGCACACCAAUUUUGCCCAAAACACCUAGCUAUGCCACACCCACAAGGGACCUCAGCAGUGAUUAACAUUGAACAUCAGCGACAGCUUGAUUCAGUUAAAGUAAAUAGAGCCGGCUAAUCUGGUGCCAGCCGCCGCGGUUACACCAUGUGGCUCAAACUGACUAUUAUCGGCGUAAAGAGUGAUUUAAGAGCCCCCAAAAUUGGCGUCAAAUUUGUACUAAGCUGUGACACGCUUGUCCCUUAGAAGUCCCAAAACGAAAGUUACUCCAAUUAAACCAACUUGAACUCACGACAACCAUGAAACAAACUGGGAUUAGAUACCCCACUAUGCUUGGUAGUAAACCUUAAAUUACACCCUAAUCGCCCGGGAACUACGAGCAAAGCUUAAAACCCAAAGGACUUGACGGUACCCCAAAUCCACCUAGAGGAGCCUGUCCUAUAAUCGAUAACCCCCGCUUUACCUCACCGCUUCUAGCUAAUCAGCCUGUAUACCUCCGUCGUCAGCUUACCUCGUGAGCGAAACACAGUGAGCUUAAUGCCAUUUCACCAACACGUCAGGUCAAGGUGCAACUCAUGAAGAGGGAAGAGAUGGGCUACACUCCCUAAUCUAGGACACACGAAAAACUACUUAUGAAAUCUAGUUUGAAGGCGGAUUUAGAAGUAAAAAAGAAUCAGAGAGUCCUUUUUAACUUGGCACUGGGGUGUGUACACACCGCCCGUCACCCUCUUCAAAGUCCUAUAGUAGUUUUUAACUCCAAUAGACAAUGCAGAAGAGGCAAGUCGUAACAUGGUAAGUAUACNNNNNNNNNNNNNNNNNNNNNNNNNNNNNNNNNNNNNNNNNNNNNNNNNNNNNNNNNNNNNNNAAAUCUCUGUGAAACUCAGAUUAUUGUGAGCCAACUUUCUAGCCCUAAUCAACCAUAUGUUAACCCUUCUAUUUUACCCACCAACUAAAACAUUUUAACAGCUUAGUAAGGGGGAUUAAAAGACUUUUAGGAGCCACAAAAAGAGUACCGCAAGGGAAAGAUGAAAUAAAAAUGAAAUAAAUUUUAAGCAAAAAAUAGUAAAGAAAAACCCUUGUACCUUUUGCAUCAUGGUUUAACUAGUCAAAUUGAGCAAAAAGACCUUCAGUUCAACCCCCCGAAACUAAACGAGCUACUUUGAGGCAGCUUACUGAGCCAACCCGUCUCUGUUGCAAAAGAGUGGGAAGACCUUCAAGUAGAAGUGACAGACCUAUCGAGUUUAGUGAUAGCUGGUUGCUUAAGAAAAGGACCUAAGUCCACAUUAAAUUGAUCUUUAUACCUAAACAUUUCAUCUUCAAUUUAAACUCAUUCAAGUAAGGUACAGCCUGCUUGAAAAAGGAUACAACCUCCUCCUAUGGGUAAUAAACGCAACUUAUAUAACUAAGUGGGCCUAAAAGCAGCCACCUUGAUAAAUAGCGUCACAGCUUUAUUAUAAACAAGCAUAAUCUCAUUAUUUUCAUAAAACCCUACACCUCUAUUAAGCAAUUCCAUGCACCUAUGGAAAAUUUUAUGUUAAAACUAGUAACAAGAAGUCACACUUCUCUUUAAUGCAAACUCACAUCAGACCGGAUUAACCACUGAUAAAUAACACCCCUCAUCCUCAAGUAGUAACUAAACAAGAAAACCCUACUUUACUUAAUGUUAACCUUACCCAAGAGCAUUACAAGAAAGAUUAAAAGAAAAAGAAGGAACUCGGCAAACAUUGACCCCGCCUGUUUACCAAAAACAUCGCCUCUUGCCCCAUAUAAGAGGUCCAGCCUGCCCAGUGACAUUGUUCAACGGCCGCGGUAUCCUAACCGUGCGAAGGUAGCGUAAUCACUUGUUCUUUAAAUGAGGACUAGUAUGAAAGGCACCACGAGAGUCAUACUGUCUCCUUUCUCUAAUCAGUGAAACUAAUCUCCUCGUGAAGAAGCGGGGAUAAAAGUAUAAGACGAGAAGACCCUAUGGAGCUUAAAACAAAUUACACUUGCCUUCCUAAUCCUUAAUUUCAGAAAAAUUUUUUACCUUGGCAUUAUGAUUAUUAGUUUUUGGUUGGGGUGACCACGGAAUAAAAAACAACUUCCGCAAUGAAAGACCCUCCACACUUAGUUUAGAGCUACAACCCUACACAUCAACAAAUUGACAUUAAUUGACCCAACAUGUUGACCAAUGAACCAAGUUACCCUAGGGAUAACAGCGCAAUCUACUUCAAGAGCUCCUAUCGACAAGUGGGUUUACGACCUCGAUGUUGGAUCAGGGUAUCCUAGUGGUGCAGCCGCUACUAAAGGUUCGUUUGUUCAACGAUUAAAACCCU